rnacentral:rRNA from 1 species
CGUUGAUUACGUCCCUGCCCUUUGUACACACCGCCCGUCGCUACUACCGAUUGAAUGGCUCAGUGAGGCCUUGGGACUGGCUCAGAGAGAGCGGCAACGCCCACUCAGAGCCGGAAAGUUGUUCAAACUUGGUCAUUUAGAGGAAGUAAAAGUCGUAACAAGG